UACAGAGGUCCCGAGCGUUGUUCGGAUUCACUGGGCGUAAAGGGUGCGCAGGUGGGUUGGCAAGUUUGAUGUGAAAGCCCCGGGUUUAACCCGGGAAUGGCAUUGAAUACUGCUGAUCUGGAGGAUCGGAGGGGGGACUGGAAUUCUUGGUGUAGCAGUGAAAUGCGUAGAUAUCAAGAGGAACACCAGUGGCGAAGGCGAGUCCCUGGACGAUACCUGACACUGAGGCACGAAAGCCAAGGGAGCAAACAGG
rnacentral:rRNA from 1 species